AUGUGUGCAUCUUUCUUUAAAUGUCAGGCUGACAUGGAAAAAGCUAUGGAACAAGGGGUACCAGAAGGUGGAGAACCAAAGAAUGUUGCUAUUGUUGUUGCUGACAUUCUCACUAAAGAAUGUCCCUCCAGCACAUUCCUUCAAAGUGUUGGCCUUGAGUCGAGCUCCAAGAAGAAGUUCAACAGAUCUGCAGCUGCUUUGGAUGCUCAUGUACAAGAACUAGAGUACAAGCUUGAGAAGGAGAGGCGAGUCGCUGAGUUGAUGCGAGAGGAGCUUGUUGAGGUCAAGAAGAAAUCAGAGGAGACCGAAGCUGCACGCGCCGCAGAGUACCAGUUGUUACUACAAAGAGUUGAGGCCACCGAUGCUAGAUUUGCGCGUCUCAUGGAUCUGUUCGAAGGUAAAAUAGUUUAG
rnacentral:rRNA from 1 species